rnacentral:rRNA from 1 species
AUGGCUCAUUAAUCAGUUAUGGUUCAUUAGAUCGUAAAUUUUACACGGAUAACUGUGGUAAUUCUAGAGCUAAUACGUGCAAUUAGCUCGCUUCCUUGUGGAGCGAGCGCAGUUAUUAGAUCAAAACCAAUCCGGCCUUCGGGUCGGUACAAUUGGUGACUCUGAAUAACCGAAGCGGAGCGCAUGGUCUCGUACCGGCGCCAGAUCUUUCAAGUGUCUGACUUAUCAGCUUGUUGUUAGGUUACGUUCCUAACAAGGCUUCAACGGGUAACGGGGUAUCAGGGUCCGAUACCGGAGAGGGAGCCUGAGAAACGGCUACCACAUCCAAGA